CAUGGUUGCUUUCACUUCGCGUCGCAUUAAUUUCAUUGAUUACUAGCGUUAAAUCUCAGUUCAUUGUCGUGUUUGUGCACAAUAUUAAAGUUCUCUAAUGUGCUUAUUAAUAGUGUAAUUGAUUUACCGGCCGCUUGAUUUAUUUGUGUCGAAAUUUUGGAGUGAAAGUUAGCAAGUUAUGAAGUCCCAUUUUCUAAACAGGAGUGAACCAGAUUGCUGGAAGUGGAGACACAUGACUACAUUUCUCAGAGCAAUGCAUCGAUGCUGAUAAGAGAUUGCCAUCCUGAUUGACUUGAGUCAUAAACCAGAGCCUUGCGGAUCUUGACAGCUGAUUGGUGGAGGUGGAUUCAUGGAUUCUGAUGUGAGCUGGGCGGGCGGGCAUCCGCAUGUCAUGUCCCGAAGACGUCAAGUAGGACUUGACAGCUGGUGAUGGAGAUGAAUUUCAAGGUGAUAAGAGUGGACAGCAUAGGCAGAGUUUUGGACAGUGGACAAAACGGACUUCGCAGCCACAGAACAACAUGAGUCACUUCUCUUCUGCUACAACGUCAUCUUCUUCUGCUGCUACUGUUACUACUGCUUCUACUGCUGCUACUACUGUUGCUGCUGCUUCUUUGCUGAGAAAUCAACACUUUUGGACCUCUGUAGCUGAUUGCUGAUCAUUGCAGUAAUAAGGUGUUACAUCUGUGAGUUCACUUAGAUUAUGAUGAUUAUCUUUUUCUUCUCCUUUUUCUUUUUCUUCUUCUUCUUCUUCUUCUACUACUACUUCUUCUCCUUACUAACAAAUUUAUUAUCUUGUAUUGAUAUAGGGUGAUUGUUUAUUGCAUUGUUAUUGCCAAUAUUAGUUACAUUUAGUAGACUAUAAUAAUAUGAAAUCUUUUAUAUGACAUUCAACGAUUUGGAGGAUUCAGGGCAAGAAUUUUUUUCUCUUAUUCAUGAAAUGGAGGUGCAAUAUUCAAGCAUAGAAAUCUAGUAAUAGAAAAAAGACGGUGG